GACGUAGGGCGCGAGCGUUGUCCGGAUUUAUUGGGCGUAAAGAGCUCGUAGGCGGCUUGUUGCGUCGACUGUGAAAACCCGCGGCUUAACUGCGGGCUUGCAGUUGAUACGGGCAGGCUAGAGUUCGGUAGGGGAGACUGGAAUUCCUGGUGUAGCGGUGAAAUGCGCAGAUAUCAGGAGGAACACCGGUGGCGAAGGCGGGUCUCUGGGCCGAUACUGACGCUGAGGAGCGAAAACGUGGGGAGCGAACAGG
rnacentral:rRNA from 1 species